rnacentral:tRNA from 1 species
GUUUUAAUAAUUUAAAUAAAAUACUGGUCUUGUAAAUCAGAUAUAAGAACUUCUUUUAAAACU